rnacentral:lncRNA from 13 species
CGCUGGAGAGGCUGCCCCGCCUCUGUGGAAGUGCCAGGGAUUCUGUGUCCCCUGGGAGAAGCCCCUGCAGUGAUGUUGGGAGACCCCCCCCUCCAUGCUUGGGUGAGGAUGACCCUGAGGCCUGAGCUAUGACCAAAGCAGAAACAGGCUCAAUCACAUACCUGGGAGGGGCAGGAAUGAAGCAGGAGCAGGGGGUAUGCAGGGCCAGGCAGGAUCUACUCAGCGGCCAUGCUGGGCCACAAAAUAGGGUUACCCUUCAGGCCCAGGGGCAGUGCCCUCUGCUGAGAUGGAGAAUGUCUUGGCUGGAGAAGGGACAAUGCUGCCCCUGGGGUGGGUGGGUGGUCCCUGACAGCAGCGUCCCAGGAAGCGUCUCAAUCACCAGGCUGAGGUCCAGGGGACUUGACCUGAGAACUUCCCAGGCAGCAAGAGUGCACCCCAAGGUCACCCCAUCCUGUCCAUAGGGACUGUACCUGUCUCUUCAGCCACCCUGACCCUUCUUUUGCCCUUGUCCUGGUGGAAUCCAUCAUCUGACCCUCUCAGAUCAGCCCAAACUCCUGCCUUGUCCCCCGGCCGGGGUCCUUCUCCCCUAAUAAAUGACUUGCCUGGAGUCGCUGUUGUCCUGCUGCUGCUGCAGGGGACCCCACCUGAGACCAUAGUGACAGCCCAGUGGCAUCUGAUUUCCUGCAGAAGCCGAGUGCUCUGAGCAUGAAGAGCCUGGUCUCCAAGCUGUACCCCUCUGGCCUGGAGCCAGGCACCCUGAGGCUGGCCAGGGAGGCCAGUGGCCUGGCCCUGAGUGCUCAGGUCCUCCAGGAGAUGGCCAAGGGCACCAAGAGCAUCACCCUCAUCACAGCCACUCGACACUCCAAGGUGCACGACCAGGGGGGCAGCAGUGGCCGCUCUUCCCACCACCUCCUGGAGGAGACGACCCCGGACUCCAGGGACCUGAAGUCCAGCACCAGCCCAGACCCCAGCCUGGCAGACAGAAGGUGGCCCCAUGCCAGCCCAUGCAGGAACUGCUCCAUGGAGAGGAAGACCAGGAAGAAGUGGUCACCCUCCUUCCCUGGGAGCGUGCAGCCGGUGAGGGAGAAGCUGCCAUCUCCCUGUGUGGAGCAUUCAGUGGAGAGUUAGCUGCCCCCAGCACUCCUUCCACUGUCAAAGUCUUCAGGAAAGAGCUUUUUCCCUGCUGUCCCUGCAGCCUCCAAGAUAAAACCCAGCCUCAGUCUUCACGCAGGUACAGGAUCAUGAAAGAAAAUAGCACAUUACUUUUCUUCCUGUAUCUUAAGUCUCCCUCCCUCCUUUGGAAUGUACAUCUUGAGAGAGUGUGACAGUUUGGGCUGUUAUCAGUUGUCUGCUCCUUGCUGUGAGUGAGUUUCAGGUUUUCUUAGGGCAGCAAGUGAGCCAAGGCCAGUGGCGUUGGGAAAAGAAUUAUUGGCAAGGAGUUCAGUUUUGAUUCUGGCCUGUCCGGCAUCCCAACAGAAGUUAAAAUAACGAUGAACAUUGGGCAUACACAGUAGGCUGCCCUUCUGCCAGCUGUACCCUGGCCCCUGGACCUUGUUCAUAGGUUUGAGACCCAGCUUCUGGAGCUGCUGUUAUUUAAAAGAGAAUAUACGUUGGUUGUGAAAAUCUUGCAACAAGGCCAGUCGCAGUGGCUCACACCUGUAAUCCCAGCACUUUGGGAGGCCGAGGUGGGCGGAUCACAGGGUCAGGAGUUUGAGACCAGCCUGCCCAACAUGGUGAAAUCCCCCAUCUCUCCUAAAAAUAUAAAAAAGUAGCCAGGUGUGGUGGAAGGCACCUGUAAUCCCAGCUACUCAGGAGGCUGAGGCAGGAGAAUCGCUUGAACCCGGGAGGCAGAGGUUGCAGUGAGUCAAGGUUGUAGUGAGCCGAGAUUUUACCACUGUACUCCAGCCUGGGCAAAACAGCAAUACUGUCUCAAAAAAAAAAAAAAAAAAAAAAGUCUUGCAACAUAGAUUAAAAUUAUAAACAAAAAGAAACUGGCCCAGCAUGGUAGCUCAUGCCUGUAAUCCCAGCA